AUACGUAGGGGGCAAGCGUUAUCCGGAAUUAUUGGGCGUAAAGCGUGCGCAGGCGGCUAAGAAGGUCAGGGGUGAAAGGCAUUGGCUUAACCAAUGUAAGCCUUUGAAACCGAUUAGCUUGAGUGCAGGAGGGGAAAGUGGAAUUUCUAGUGUAGCGGUGGAAUGCGUAGAUAUUAGAAGGAACACCAGUGGCGAAGGCGACUUUCUGGACUGUGACUGACGCUGAGGCACGAAAGCGUGGGUAGCGAACAGGAUUAGAUACCCUGGUAGUCCACGCUGUAAACGAUGAAUACUAGGUGUCUGCGGGCGACCGUAGGUGCCGGCGCUAACGCAAUAAGUAUUCCGCCUGGGGAGUACGGCCGCAAGGCUAAA
rnacentral:rRNA from 1 species